rnacentral:lncRNA from 1 species
AAAAACUUUGCGACCGAUUGGGCGUCUUUUCGUUUCGUUGGACAUGCUUCGACCCACUGGGAGAACCUGUCCACAACAGCCAACAUGUAUCUUUUACCUUCCACUGGUCUAAUCAUGACAACAAAGUCAAUGACUAGUUCACGCAUGGGACCUGUGGGCGUUGGAACAUAGCCCAGAGGAACUGUCACCCUACGGCGAACAUUGGGCCAGAUUCACGAAGCGUUCUUACGAACAAAUUUGUUCUUAAGUCCCACUUACGAACAGUUGACGAAGAUUGUGGCAUUCACCAAUUUCUUCUUAUCCUGGAUUUAUUCGUAGGGGAUCGAGGAUAUGCCCUGGUUGUUGACACCACUGACCAACCCUCAGACUCCACAGGAAAUGUUAUUCAAUCAGAUGCAUGCGCGCAGUCGCUCCACCAUUGAACGCACCAUCGGCAUUUUAAAGGGGCGCUGGAUGUGCUUGGACACAGAGCCACAACCCCAUGAGGAUGUGCGUCCUGACGCAAUGAUGGGGCCAGACUGCAGGCACGCGGUUCACGUUCGAGCGCGAUUAAUUGCCCGUUUGUGAAUAAAUGCAUUAUUGUCACAAUUUCAGUCUAACAGUCUUGAUUCACUUCAAAAAGAAAAAAUAAGAGACCAGUUUCAGAGCUUUUACACGUUUUUUUUUUUUUUUUUACAUUCUCGUUGAUUUCUUUAAGCGUGUUGGCUAUAGUCAUCAGGGUUGAGGCAAUUUUAUCAAGCGUGUUAGCCAUCCUUUCUUGAUUGUUCAACACGGCGUCAGAAGUCAGGCGUGGAGAGGCAAGCUUUGGGCAUUGU